UACGUAGGGACCAAGCGUUGUUCGGAUUUACUGGGCGUAAAGGGCGCGUAGGCGGCGCGGUAAGUCACCUGUGAAAUCUCUGAGCUUAACUUAGAACGGUCAAGUGAUACUGACGUGCUAGAGUGCAGAAGGGGCAACCGGAAUUCUUGGUGUAGCGGUGAAAUGCGUAGAUAUCAAGAGGAACACCUGAGGUGAAGACGGGUUGCUGGGCUGACACGUGACGCUGAGGCGCGAAAGCUAGGGUAGCAAACAGG
rnacentral:rRNA from 1 species